rnacentral:pre_miRNA from 1 species
CUUAUACUUCCUCCGUCCGGAAAUACUUGUCCUAGAAAUUGAUAUAAUGGAUGUAUUUAUUAAAAUAAGUCUAGAUACAUUCAUCUUUAGGACAAGUAUUUUCGGACGGAUGAAGUAUUUA